rnacentral:rRNA from 1 species
GACGAACGCUGGCGGCGUGCUUAACACAUGCAAGUCGAACGGAAAGGCCCUGCUUUUGUGGGGUGCUCGAGUGGCGAACGGGUGAGUAACACGUGAGUAACCUGCCCUUGACUUUGGGAUAACUUCAGGAAACUGGGGCUAAUACCGGAUAGGAGCUCCUGCUGCAUGGUGGGGGUUGGAAAGUUUCGGCGGUUGGGGAUGGACUCGCGGCUUAUCAGCUUGUUGGUGGGGUAGUGGCUUACCAAGGCUUUGACGGGUAGCCGGCCUGAGAGGGUGACCGGCCACAUUGGGACUGAGAUACGGCCCAGACUCCUACGGGAGGCAGCAGUGGGGAAUAUUGCACAAUGGGCGGAAGCCUGAUGCGGCAACGCCGCGUGCGGGAUGACGGCCUUCGGGUUGUAAACCGCUUUCGCCUGUGACGAAGCGUGAGUGACGGUAGUGGGUAAAGAAGCACCGGCUAACUACGUG